UGGGGCGUGGCCGAGUGGUAAGGCGACGGGUUUUGGUCCCGCUCUUCGUAGGUUCGAAUCCUUCCGUCCCAG
rnacentral:tRNA from 3 species